UACGGGGGGGGCAAGCGUUGUUCGGAAUUACUGGGCGUAAAGGGCGCGUAGGCGGUUUGUUAAGUUGGAUGUGAAAACUCUGGGCUUAACCCAGAGCCUGCAUCCAAAACUAGCAAGCUAGAGUUCUGGAGGGGAUAGCGGAAUUCCUGGUGUAGCGGUGAAAUGCGCAGAUAUCAGGAGGAACACCGGUGGCGAAGGCGGAUCUCUGGGCCUUACCUGACGCUGAGGCGCGAAAGCUAGGGGAGCGAACAGG
rnacentral:rRNA from 1 species